GGUUUUGAGACUUAUCAAGAGCUUCAUAAAACACACUGGGUUUCUGGAGAGGACACUGAAAGUAAAUCUGGAACCUACUGUGUGCCCCGACUUCAUGUAUCUCAACUCUAUAUGCAGACACAGGGCUUGUGGGGAAGAGAGCUGUCUAGAAAGGGAAGGAGCCUAAGCACGGAGUAGGAACAUGACCAUCAGUCUAGUCUUCUUGGCGGCCAGCCCUGCUUUCACAGACUGAAAACAAGAAAGUAGUCUCAGCUGUCGCCCAGCUCCGAGCCAGAGUCUAUACAGGGCUGUGACCUGGGAGUGAGGUUGAGGUUUCUGGAGAAGACAGCAGCCAGAUGAGCACCAGGGGGUCAACAUAGGAAGCAGCAGUGUCCCUGCCAGGAGCUGGCACUACGAUGGUAUCUCUUCAGACCCUUACCUCCAGAACAGAGAGGAGAGCAGCAUUGCUGACCUGAGAUAUAGUGCUCCAUUGGAAGCUGGUCUAACCUGCUGGAAGAUGAGGGAUCCUGGACGGAGCUUAUGUGACAGACGUGGAGAGCAUUUUCUGACUGGUUGCCAUGUCAACGAAGGACUCCAUUUUCUGGUUCGUCUACCCCGCUGCUGCUGCUGCUGCUGCUGCUGCUGCUGCUGCUGCUGCUGCUGCUGCUGCUGCUGCUGCUAUUAUCAUUUGCCGACACCAGAACCGUUUCUUCCUCCUUCCAAUGUGGACAGAAGACCAGUGUCUCUCCAGGAGUUCCCAGGCCAUCAGUGCUAGACUGGAGGUGCUGAGGCUAAUACUCACUGACCAAAGGACAUGAGCUAGGAUGCUGAGGAAAGACGUAAAGGAGCCUCGAGUGUCCCUCGCUCGGUCAAAGAAGUCCCAGAAGAGGCUGAGUGCUGCACCAUUUCACCCACAUGCUAUUCUGGAACAGACGCAGCUAUGGAGACUAUAAAAGGAUCAGUUGAUGUUAAGAACGGGGAAGGAGAAUGACUAGCAUUCUGUCUGCUACUGUAAGCAGCUGCUUGCCAGCUCUUCCUGUCCCCACCAGUCCCUCGACUCGCUGGAGCCGGAUUCGCUGACGCUGUGGUCUGGCACAUUCUCUACCUGCUGGGAAUCAUGCUCUGGUCUCCCACCCCUACCCCUCUUGAAUCAGUCCCUUCUCCAUCAUAUAUCUCCAUGAUGUUCAUGCUCUGGCCAACCAGAGAACCACACAAACCCAUCUGUGAUGACUGGAAUUAGCUCGUUAUUGAUCGUAAGACCCAAACGCCGCUGAAGAGGUGCAAUAAAGCAUUGGCUAGGGUUACUGUGAAAACGAUGCAGAGAACAGAGACCUUGCACUGGCAAGGCCUGGAGCAUUUAGAAGCCAACUAAAGAAUAUAAGGAGCCUUCACCACCGAAGAGAAAGAGCCUCCUGAUGGACAGGUCCUCAAGUCCUCAGAGAACACCUUGUUCCAGUUCUACCUGAAGCAAAACCUUACCGGCGUUUGCAUCACAUGAGUCAACAAAUUGCCUGUGGUAGUCCUAAGACAUUUGCUUGAAAGUGACAGAAAAGUCUUCCCUAGAGAAUAUUCUAGUCUGACAGACAGCAGGGUCAGGACCCAGUGAUAGAAUUGUCGCUCUGGCCCACCGUGGAGGUCAAAGCUGAGAAGUGUUCGUCUACCAAUGUGUGGGCAGAUGUGUGUUUCAGACCUGGGUAUGGCUGGAUGAAAUGAGUCCUUCAGACUUCCCUUUCCUGUGACCACAAAGAAAAAAAAAAUCCCUAAGAGAAGGAUUCCCUGAACAUUCUUACUGUCCUAAUUCUGUAGCCCAGUUCUUUUCUUUACAGCAAGUGCCACUGUUGUCCUUGUUAAUCCUCUAACUUGUUGAAGAAGGAAUAUAUAUAUAUAUAUAUAUAUAUAUGUGUGUGUGUGUAUAUACAUACAUGUAUAUAUAUAUAUAUAUAUAUAUAUAUAUAUAUAUAAAACAUUCAGUAAUUAAUAAGCACCUAAGAUAGUCUCACUGCUGCCACACACUGCUAACAGCUUAAAAGUUUCAGCCCAAGAGCUAUAGGGCUAAGCAGAAACAGAACGAGUCUAGUUUUACUGAGCUCUGAAAUUUGUGCUCUGGCCAGCUUUGGAUGAAUCUCUUUCCUCUUGCCUUGGGAAAAGCAAACGCCUGUAAAUCUACCUUAAGAAAUAGUUGACACAGCUGUCUGGUUAGACAUCAAAGCCCUGUUUCCUAAAGCAAUAAUGUCCUAAUGAUUCCCAGCACUGCCCGUGUCUGCAGACAUGCUUGAACGGCAGUAGACACUUCCUAUCGGUGGUCACGGGAUGCAGAGAGUGCCCUGAGGUGGUCGGAGAGUUCAACACUGCUGCUCAAACUAUAAAAACUGUAAGAAACUACAGACAAAGCGGUUUGAUGCAGUGCCUGCCAGCACAGUGAUGAAUGCAUCUGAACUUUUGAAGCGCAGUUUCCAGAGCAGGAUUCCUAUAACAUGGUAAGAACAGAGAGCAGGUCCAUGCUGUCUCCCUGCAUUUCCAGCACCUAGCAACAGGUCUUCCAGACACAGUAGGUUUCAAUUAGUACCUCAUUAAACGAAUAGAGAACGAGGGUCACAUCCCUGGCCCCGUGCUUUCCGAGAAGUCACUCUAAGCAAGGGUUCCACUAGAACCCACAUCUACAGCCACUCAGACACUUUGACACAUGCUACAUAAAGACACCUUAUGUGCACCAUUCAAUGACGGAUGCCUGUUUAGCAGUGGACAGCAUUUGUUUGCCGCUAGCACAUUCAGUCUUGUUAGGAACUUCUGUGACUCGUCCCAGUUUCCCAACACCGGAAGUGGUCCCUGAGGCUGCAGUACCUCUCUCUGUCCUCCCUGUUUUGUUGCCAAAUGCCCAACUUUGCCACUGUUCCUUAAGACCACAUAGGCAUGGAAACUCUCAUUUAUUGAACCUACUAAGUGCUGGGAACUUUUCAUGUUUGACUUCAUCUGUCCUGUCAGCCACACUACACACACUGCCCUAUUCAUCUUUAUUUUAUAGACAUAAGAAGGUCCAGAGAGGUCAGUGACUUGCCCAAAGUCACACAGACUUAAUUUACAUAUAUAAAUCUGUGGAACACUCAGUCUCUUGCUUUCUGUUAUUCCACAGUUUUUCCUAAUAGGACUAUAGGGGCUGGAGCUUGGAGGUAGAAUGUUUGCCAAUCGCACAUGAGGCACCAGGUUCAAUCCUCCAAUACAGCUAUACGUGUGUAUGUGUGCUUAUGUAAGUAUAUACAUAUCAUAUCUGCUUAUAUAUAAUGCCAUGCACUUUCUCUGGAGACGACUCGAAUAUAUCCACGCAAACACAGCAAGCCAUCUGCAUAACUUUAUUUAUUGUACCAGAGAAGCAGGAAACUACACAGACCUAUUAAGGACUCACAUGUUCCAAGUAAUUUGGAUAAAUGUGAUUUUUUUUUAAGCAGCGCACAAGUCACCAUAAAACAAUCUACACAUUUCAGAACACAUGAAGAGCUCUAAAGGCUGUGGACUGUGUGUGGAGAGGGACACUCAAGUUAUCUUAUGCAAAGAUGCAAAUCCAGUCUGCUUCCUACCAAAUACGCAAAUCCAGACUGCUUUCUCUCCCGUCC